rnacentral:lncRNA from 7 species
UUCCUCGGCCCGCCACUGACUAGCCAUCUCCUCCUCCCGCCCUCCGGUGCCACGCUUCUCGCGCGUUCUCCCACCCUCCGCUGCCGCACUUCGCACACGCUCUCCCGCGCUGCGCCCGUGUUCUCCCGCCCACGCUGCCGCCAGCUCGUGCAGCAGGCGCCGUGCCUCCUCCCUGGGAAUCCGCGGCCCCGACAGCGUACCGCCUCCGACGCCACCGCUACCUGGCUCUGGUUCUCGAUCGCCAGUUUGCCACCAUCCAUCCUGACUAAAUUGACGUACGUUCUGAAACCCCGGUGAAGAAGAUGAAUGGCGGAUCUGACAAUUUUUCUUACGUAAAAUAUUCUUUUUUUUUACUUUGUUUCUUUGCUAGCUCUUCGCUGUUUCGAAUUGAAAU